rnacentral:rRNA from 1 species
GUGAACGCUGGCGGUAGGCCUAACACCUGCAAGUCGAACGGCAGCACAGUAAGAGCUUGCUCUUACGGGUGGCGAGUGGCGGACGGGUGAGGAAUACAUCGGAAUCUACUUUUUCGUGGGGGAUAACGUAGGGAAACUUACGCUAAUACCGCAUACGACCUACGGGUGAAAGCAGGGGAUCUUCGGACCUUGCGCGAUUGAAUGAGCCGAUGUCGGAUUAGCUAGUUGGCGGGGUAAAGGCCCACCAAGGCGACGAUCCGUAGCUGGUCUGAGAGGAUGAUCAGCCACACUGGAACUGAGACACGGUCCAGACUCCUACGGGAGGCAGUAGUGGGGAAUAUUGGACAAUGGGCGCAAGCCUGAUCCAGCCAUACCGCGUGGGUGAAGAAGGCCUUCAGGUUGUAAAGCCCUUUUGUUGGGAAAGAAAAGCAGCAGGUUAAUACCCCGCUGUUCUGACGGUACCCAAAGAAUAAGCACCGGCUAACUUCGUG